AUUCUUCUGAAGCGCAUGUCAGAGAGGAGGAGGAGGGAGGGAAUGAACCAGGAAGAGAGAGACAGAGAGAGAGAGAGAGAGAAGGCAGCCUCCGGUUGACAGUACAUGGAGGUCUGCAGGAUCUCCAGGACCAGGAACCAUCCCUGGCUGCUGCGCCUGGUGUGUGUUCUGCCUCCUGCUAUCACAAGGGAUUCCCCCUGGAUCAGCCCCUGAGAGCUGUAGGAUCCACCCAGGAGGAUGCAGGGCCUCAGGAGGGCCUCAGGAGGAACCGCUCUAGCCAGCUCUGACUUCUGGUGGGGCGGGACAGCUGGUGUUGUGAAUCAGGCCGCUAUAGUGCCAGACACGGCUUCUUCCCAACACCAGGGUCACACCCCACUGUCCGCAGCACCGAAGCCCCGGAGCCCAGCCCUCUCCCUCACCGGCAGCAAGGCACAGCAGCAGAUCACAGGAAGACAGAUCAAAAUGCAUGCCGAGACUAGUGGAGGAUGUGUCUUUCAAAAACAGACUAGUCGAAGUUAAUUAAAAAUAAACUAAAUAUUCCACUGUGUGUCUGAGGCAUAAGAGGAGCAUUUGAGCAUGGGCCCGAAGCAUAACCACCAUUGUUUAAUUCUCAAUUGUGAUUAAAGUAGAGUUGUAUUGUAUUGACUUGCCUUAUGACAGCUUCUGUGUGUCUGCACACUAGGACUAGGAUUCAACAUCAGUGAACUAUCAGAGCAUAAGACAGUACAACUAGAGAGAGGACAGUGCUGAUGGGAAUAGCAUGAAAUGAAUAAUCAAUCAAAAUUAAAUGUGUUCCGGUUUAUGUAAAAGCAUGACAAAUGAAAGGCUGGGUGUAUUCCUUUGUCUGGGAUUAAAUAGAAAAUGGAUUUUGAUGUUAGUCUCAGUCUUAGUAUCAGUACGCUUUGUUGGUAUCCCUCGGUGCUGCUUUUAUUUCACUUUAUAUUAUAUACUUUUAUUAAAACUCAUCAAAGGACUCUUUAUUUGUUAUUCGUUACUUAACGAAUUGUAUGUUUUCAUUGUGUGGUGGUAGUUUGUGAGUGAAAGUGUUUAGGUACAAUUGUGAAUUCGUUUUUGCAUCAUUAUUCCAAUAAUAAAGUAGUAUACAUGUGAAC
ensembl:lncRNA